rnacentral:rRNA from 1 species
GAUGAACGCUGGCGGCGUGCCUAACACAUGCAAGUCGAACGGAGAUUACGGACGGAAGUCUUCGGAUGGAAGCCUGUAAUUCUUAGUGGCGGACGGGUGAGUAACGCGUGGGCAACCUGCCCUAUACAGGGGGAUAGCAGCUGGAAACGGCUGGUAAGACCGCAUAAGUCGGUUAAAUCGCAUGAUUUGAUCGGGAAAUGAGCAAUCAGGUAUAGGAUGGGCCCGCGUCCGAUUAGCCAGUUGGCAGGGUAAAAGCCUACCAAAGCGACGAUCGGUAGCCGGACUGAGAGGUCGGACGGCCACACUGGGACUGAGACACGGCCCAAACUCCUACGGGAGGCAGCAGUGGGGGAUAUUGCACAAUGGAGGAAACUCUGAUGCAGCGACGCCGCGUGAGUGAAGAAGUAUUUCGGUAUGUAAAGCUCUAUCAGCAGGGAAGAUGAUGACGGUACCUGACUAAGAAGCCCCGGCUAACUACGUG